AUACUAAACCUUUAAUCAAAUGCAGAAAUGACUCUUNNNNNNNNNNNNNNNNNNNNNNNNNNNNNNNNNUGUCUUAGCAGAAUUGCACACAUAAUUGUAGUUUUAUCUAGAUCUCAGUCUUGGGCUCCAUCUUUAUUUUUAUUCCUGUAUCUCUCCAUCCAGGAACCAAGAAAAUGCAAGAUGCAAGGUAGUAUCCGAACUUCAAAGGAAAACAAAAUGCAUGUUUACAGGUACAAGUAGACCACACAGCUUCUGGGGUUGGGAAGAAAUUCUGUUUCUGAACCUCCUAACAAGCCCAGUGAGAAAGAAAACAACUUUGUUUUCAAGUAGUAAAUAAAGAAAAAAAGAUGCUUAUGAAAUGCUUGACCUUGUGCAAAUUAAGCAAUCACUCUGUGCCUCUGUUUCAUCAUAAGUUAACAGAGAAGGAUAGGAUAACUUCCUUGUAUAGGCAGGCUGGGGAUGAAAUCAAAUGUGCCAGGAUCAGCAAAGCAUUUAGAACAGUGGCCGGCACAAGGAAAGCACUAUUUCAGUGUUUUUUUACAAUAAAAAAAAAAAAAAUAAAGUAAGUGCUAAGGAAAAUUCUGCAGGAAUGUAAAGUUUCACCCAGUACCUAAUUUUAAAGGAUAGUUCUCACUGGGAGCUUCACCUUAUCAACAGGAGAGUGAGAGAGGCAAGGUAAAAUGUUCCCUUAUGGCUUCUCUAUUGCAAACACAUUUAUGGGAUUUGCGGAAUGUUUUCUUGAGUCAUCUCUCAAUAAACACGGAGGACAGAGCGUUGAACUCAGGGAAAGCAAUUUUGCAGCAGGCCAGGAUAAUAUGUUCUGAACUUGCAAUGUUCUGAUGAUCAAGCUCUAGUGCUAGAUUAUAAAGAAAUGGAUGGGCUCAUUUCCUUCAAAUAACCCUUCAUAAAUAUCACUUCUCUUAUCUGAGCAUUUUAUACGUUGUGCAGGGGAAGCAUGGAGUUAGCAUCUCUGCUAGGACUUCACAUGAAAAUACUGCAUCCUGCUGCUAAAGCCAGGGAUUCAGUGUAGUCGUUGCUGGUCAAUGGCAGACAUACCUGCUUUCAUAUUACUGGCUGUGCCACUGGCUGGCUUGUGACCUUGGGCAAGUUAUUUCACUUCUUAGGAGCCUUGGUUUCACCAUGUGAAUCACUGCAAUCUUAAAAUCGUGCUUUGAUGUUAAAGAAGAUGAUGCACACGAAGCAUGAACACCACGAGUGAUCACAUGGUUAGGAGUGAUGACAAGUGUGGAUUCUGACUUUUGCUGGUUUGAUGACUGGGUUGAACCUCAGGCUUCUCAUCUGCAAACGGGGAAAGUAGGAGCACCUUUCUCAUAAGGCUGUUGCAAGGAUUAAAUACAAACAUUCAACACAGUGAUUAAGAAGAUGUUAAGUUAGGAGUUCCCAUUGUGGCCCAGCGGAAACAAAUCUACUAGCAUGCAUGAGGACCCAGGUUUGAUCCCUGGCCUUGCUCAGUGGGUUAAGGAUCUGGCAUUUCCAUGAGCUUUGGUGUAGGUCGCAGAUGCGGCUCGGAUCUGGCAUUAUUCUUGCUGUAGUGUAGGCUGGUAGCUACAGCUCCAAAGUGACUCCUAGCCUGGGAACCUCUGUAAGCUGUGGGUGCAGCCCUAAAAGACAAAAAAAAAAAAAAAAAAAAAAAAAA
ensembl:lncRNA